rnacentral:rRNA from 1 species
UACGUAGGGUGCAAGCGUUGUUCGGAAUUACUGGGCGUAAAGCGCGCGUAGGCGGUUUGAUAAGUCAGAUGUGAAAGCCCCGGGCUCAACUUGGGAACUGCAUUUGAUACUGUCAGACUAGAGUACAGAAGAGGUGACUGGAAUUCCCAGUGUAGCGGUGAAAUGCGUAGAUAUUGGGAGGAACACCAGAUGCGAAGGCGGGUCACUGGGCUGAUACUGACGCUGAAGUGCGAAAGCCAGGGGAGCGAACGGG